GCUGGAUGAUCUCUCUUGCCAUUACUAUUCUUCUUCUUGCCUUAGGAUCUGGACAUGAACCGUAAGGAGCAUUUAACAAAGGAUUUUCCAGCUGUAUCAGCCAAUGAUCUGGACGUGAACCGUAAGGAGCAUUUAACAAAGGAUUAUCCAGCUGUAUCAGCCAAUAUUCUACGAGCCUGGGGCCGCUGCAAA